rnacentral:lncRNA from 1 species
CAAAUGAUCCACACGCCUCGGCCUCCCAAGGUGCUGGGAUUACAGGCGUGAGCCACCGCACCCAGUGGCAUUCACUCUCCUGAGAGAAGUCCGGGAGUUCCGAGUGAGUUCUGAGUGAGCUCAGGCAUUGGCUCACUCAAGAGGGCUCAGCUGGCAUCAGAUGUGAUUGCAUGUAACAAAGAGACACCAAAUAAUGAUGGCUUAAACAAGAUAGAAACCUCUAUUUUUCUUUUUUUGACACAGAGUUUCACUCUGUUUUGAUCAUUGCUCACUGCAGCCUAGACCUCCCGGGCUCAAGCAAUCCUCCCACCUCAGCCUCCAGAGUAGCUGGGACUACAAGCAUGUGCCAUGCCGGUAAAUUAGUCAUAUCUGCUUAUUUUUUUAAUUUUUU